CCUGACUUUGCUUGCGCAACCGGCGGCCCUUCUAAAAGACAACCCGCCGCUCCACACCAAUAACAGCAUCCCGCAUCAAGAAUCCUAUUCAGUGUACGUCUGACGUACGUGGAGUUUGGAUUGUCCUCGAACCCCAACAGGAUGUUGUGGGCGGGGCUGGUAUCCCUGGCGGCCAUCGGCGUGGGCGUCCGUGCCCAGGACCGCGUCGCAUCUCGGGCGUGCUUCCACCAUCCCUCCAACGGAGGUACCAUUUAUGACUUCGAAGAGUCGGACCUCUUCGAGAGUCGCAACAUUUCCCUCUCUGAAUACAAGGGGAAGGUUAUCCUCAUCGUGAAUGUGGCAACCUACUGAGGUUACACUGCUCAGUACCUCGAUAUGAAUGUGCUUCAUGAGUCUUACGACAACUUCGAGGUGUUGGGCUUCCCUUGCAACCAGUUCGGCAAGCAAGAGCCAGCUGCAAAUGCAACGGAACUGCAGAACGGGAUCACAUACGUUCGCCCAGGGAAUGGCUUCAAGCCUAACUUCACUCUCUUCAAGAAAAUAGAGGUUAAUGGCGAGAAGGAACACCCUCUAUACACUUACUUGAAGGCCUACUGUCCCAGUACCCGCAUCGCUUUCGCUGAUCCAAACGCCCUCUACUACAAGCCCCUGAAGACCAACGACGUCCGUUGGAACUGGGAGAAAUUCCUCAUCUCAAAAUCUGGAAAGCCCUUCAUGCGAUACGACCCCGGCACCAAGCCCGAUGAGAUCAGGAACGACAUUAUGUUCCUCCUCCAGCAAGAUGCAUAAGCCCGCAGAACUGCAAUCCUCGGCGUCUUUUCGUACGACGCCCAAAACUUUCUCAAGGAACAUCUAAAGAAAAUUAAAUAUAAGAAUAACUGUCUUGAGAAAUUGUAAUGUUUAAUUGAUGUUAUACUCAAGUUUAACAUCCAAGUCAGCGGUAGCAUUUCCAUAACCUUUAGUCAUUGCUACUCCAGAUAGUUCUUAUAGACAUUAGAACUCUCACACCAUCCUCUAGUUAGAGUCUUUACACUUUAACGUUCUGGAAUAUUUUUCCAUAGUAUUUCCAGUUUCCGUGGCAAUAUUAGGCCAGUCCAGUGCUCCAGCUGCAUGGCGCAUAUGAAGACCUCGCUAGAAACCCUAAAGGUGGGCAUGGUUGGAAGAGGAAGUGGAGCUGUGAUGGUCUUCUAAGCACAUUCAGCCAGAUCGGCUCCCUUCUGAUGUCAUGUGAGCGUUGUGCUGUACUGGCCACCUUGUUGCCAUGGCAACUGGGAAUCGAUUUUACUCAAUAAAACUUCCAAGUGGAA